rnacentral:lncRNA from 1 species
UGCCCUGUGCCAGGCGAGAGGAAAGCGUUUCACAGGAUUCUGCCUGGGUGAGCCAGAGACUCCCUGGAGAGCGGUCCCGCCGCCCUCCACAGCCAGGGCCGCUCCUCUCUUGUUCUUAGCCCUGUGCACUGUUCCAGCACAGCUGUUCCCAAGCGCACGGCGGCUGCUCCCGCACUUCCACCGAGAAAAAGCUGAGGUCGGCGUAGCCGUGGAGAGGCCAAAAGCUGCUGUGAAGUACCACGAAUGACAGAAACUGGCUUAAGACAACAGAAAUGUAUCCUCCCCCAGUUCUGGAAGCCGGAAGUCUGAGACGAAGGCGUCAGCAGGGCUCUCAUCCAUUCGCCAUGCUGGGUCUGUCACGGCCUGAAUGCUUUCGUCCCCAACGUUCAUAGGAAGCUGGUGAUGAGAAGAGCCCAAUGCCGAGUCGUCUUCCUGGUUGCCGGAUUCGUCUAUGCUCGCAGGGCUGUGAAGGAACGCCUGAGACGGGUUGAACUCUUCUGGUGGCCAGCCCUGGUGUCUGAAGUUUAGAAUGUGGUGCCAUGCUCUUGCAUGUUGUGCUUAAAAAGGCUUUUGUUGGAAAAGCUUGUGUGAAGCCACUGGCACCUGUUACGUGAGCACAUGUGACUCUGCGCUGACCCGUUGCCAUUGGGCCCUGGGGAAUGACAGAGAGAAAAGAUAAAUUGGGAAGGAGAAAGCCAGGUGUGGAGUAAAAAGGUGUGAAGAGAGCAGAGCUUGAUGAGAGGACAAGUGAGGAGGCUGGGCAUAAACUGUGAUCUGGAGAGACAAAGAGGAGGGGGUGCCUGUGUAUUUUGUGCAGUCGAACGACCCGGGUUCAAUUCCUGCCUUCAUUCCACUCUGAGCCUCAGACCCCCAUUCACAGAAGGGGCCUGUGUCAUGCAGCUCAUGAGUCAGGAGAAUUAAUGGGAUCGAGGGAGCCUGUUGACUGCUUGGCUCCAAUGACAAGCACACAGUAAGAAGCCAAUAAUAUGAAUGCUUUCUGCCUUUCACACCAUUUUCAUUUGUACGUCACUCUCUAGUAAGAUUAGUAAAAACGUUCCUAUGUUGA